GAUGAACGCUGGCGGCGUGCCUAAUACAUGCAAGUCGAGCGAACAGACGAGGAGCUUGCUCCUUUGACGUUAGCGGCGGACGGGUGAGUAACACGUGGGUAACCUACCUAUAAGACUGGGAUAACUUCGGGAAACCGGUGCUAAUACCGGAUCAUAUUUCCAACCGCAUGGUUCGAUAGUUAAAGAUGGCUUUGCUAUCACUUCUAGAUGGCCCUGCGCCGUAUUAGCUAGUUGGUAAGGUAACGGCUUACCAAGGCAACGAUACGUAGCCGACCUGAGAGCGUGAUCGGCCACACUGGAACUGAGACACGGUCCAGACUCCUACGGGAGGCAGCAGUAGGGAAUCGUGCGCAAUGGGCGAAAGCCUGACGGAGCAACGCCGCGUGAGUGAUGAAGGGCUUCGGAUCGUAAAACUCUGUUAUUAGGGAAGAACAAACGUGUAAGUAACUGUGCACGUCUUGACGGUACCUAAUCAGAAAGCCACGGCUAACUACGUG
rnacentral:rRNA from 1 species